rnacentral:tRNA from 4 species
GCCGGAGUAGCUCAGGGGUAGAGCGCAUCCUUGGUAAGGAUGAGGUCACGAGUUCAAUUCUCGUCUUCGGCUCAA